GAUGAACGCUGGCGGCGUGCCUAAUACAUGCAAGUCGAGCGAAUGGAUUAAGAGCUUGCUCUUAUGAAGUUAGCGGCGGACGGGUGAGUAACACGUGGGUAACCUGCCCAUAAGACUGGGAUAACUCCGGGAAACCGGGGCUAAUACCGGAUAACAUUUGAACCGCAUGGUUCGAAAUUGAAAGGCGGCUUCGGCUGUCACUUAUGGAUGGACCCGCGUCGCAUUAGCUAGUUGGUGAGGUAACGGCUCACCAAGGCAACGAUGCGUAGCCGACCUGAGAGGGUGAUCGGCCACACUGGGACUGAGACACGGCCCAGACUCCUACGGGAGGCAGCAGUAGGGAAUCUUCCGCAAUGGACGAAAGUCUGACGGAGCAACGCCGCGUGAGUGAUGAAGGCUUUCGGGUCGUAAAACUCUGUUGUUAGGGAAGAACAAGUGCUAGUUGAAUAAGCUGGCACCUUGACGGUACCUAACCAGAAGGCCACGGCUAACUACGUGCCAGCAGCCGCCGCAG
rnacentral:rRNA from 1 species